AAAUUACCGAAAUGGGAGCAGAAAAGGCCACGCGAAAUAUAAUAUAAAAUAAGAGAGAGAAAUAAGUCUUAAAAGGUCACUGCUUUGAUGGGACGACAUGUGGCGAGGGCUGGGAGUCCCCUUCAGGAGAUGGUGCAGAAGCUGAGGAGCAAUAGUCCCUAUGAGACUACCACGUCUUGGGCAAAGCUAGUUUCCGAUAUCUAGGAGCAGACAUCAAGAUAAAUUAUCUAAUAAAUUGAAAUAUAUAAAGGAAUCACUAGUGGUACCGCAAAAGGCUCACACUGAAUUAUGUGUAUUGAUGCUUGUAGAUCGAUAGCCACUUCAGCCUAACCUAACCUAUGAAGUUUGAAAUAUUUUAAAUUGUUUUUAAUUUAUAUAAGCAGUAUAAUUCUCUUAUUAUACGCCUGUGUCCAUCAAUCAUCGCGAAAUGACAAAUUACUGCACUAGUCCGCUACUCAAGACUUUUUCUGUGAAUGCGUCAACAAUCAGAGUGCUAUCGAUUUCCGAUUAAUGUUUAUGAUUUAUGACAUUUAUGACACUUUCAGUUACUAUAAACUAAAAAUUAAGCAAAUUGUGAAGUGUAGAAAAAUAUUUGAAUCUAGAAGUGGAGAAAUUAAAUAUCGAGAAAACAAAAAAAAAAAUAAUAAUAAUAUUUAAUUGUUCGUAAAAAAUUGAGCGGAAGGAAAGGUAAAGGUAUCGGAAUCUCGCAUAAAAAAACGGUCAAUGUCAUUAACACUUUUUGCUUGCGCUUUACUUGCCGCCGUUUGCGCGCCGGUGAUUAAGUGCAAAAAGAAUAAAGAAAUAAAUACAGUCAAGCUACAAUAAAUAUAAAAAAAACUCCGUGCAAAAAAGAAUAUAAAGUAUAAGCAAUUACAAAUAAACAAAUGAAAGCAAACAAGCCCUAAAUAUAAACAACCAGCUGUGCGCGGACGCUAACCGGAAGACGGUUAGCAAAUGCAAUACAGUCAAGCUGUUCCAGAUUAUGAUGUUAAUUUGAAAUACGUCUCGCGCAAUUUACAGCUCCAUCACCUCGCCGCCUACACCCUCUUUACCUUGCGCUUGCCGCUCCAAUUUCUCCUUCUCCGAGUUCUCCAAUUGCUC